rnacentral:rRNA from 1 species
UGAAUACGAGAUGCUACGGCGUCGAAGCAGUGUAUGUCAGACUUCCAAGAAAAGCUCGCAAUGUCAUAAAUAAAGAAUGCCUGUACCAUAACCGACACAGGUGGGUAGGUAGAGUAUACUAAGGGGCGCGAGAUAACUCUCUCUAAGGAACUCGGCAAAAUAACUCCGUAACUUCGGGAGAAGGAGUGCCUUCUUUAAGAAGGUUGCAAUAACAAGAUCCAAGCAACUGUUUAUCAAAAACACAGGUCUCCGCUAAGUCGUAAGACGAUGUAUGGGGGCUGACGCCUGCCCAGUGCCAGAAGGUUAAAGAAGUUGGUUAGCUUUUGCGAAGCUGAUGACUGAAGCCCUGGUGAACGGCGGCCGUAACUAUAACGGUCCUAAGGUAGCGAAAUUCCUUGUCGGGUAAGUUCCGACCCGCACGAAAGGCGUAAUGAUUUGGAUACUGUCUCGGAGAGGGACUCGGUGAAAUAGACUUGUCUGUGAAGAUGCGGACUACCUGCACCAGGACAGAAAGACCCUAUGAAGCUUUACUGUAACUUGAAAUUGAAAUUGGACUUUAUUUGCGCAGUAUAGGUGGAAGGCGUUGAAAGUAAUCUUGCGGGAUUAGUGGAGCCAUCAGUGAGAUACCACUCCUAUAAUGUUAGAUUUCUAACUUUGGAUCAUGAUCUGGUCAAAGAACAGUUUCAGGCGGGCAGUUUGACUGGGGCGGUCGCCUCCCAAAUGGUAACGGAGGCGUACAAAGGUUUCCUCUGAACGGGUAGAAAUCGUAUCUAGAGUGUAAAGGCAUAAGGAAGCUUGACUGUGAGACCUACAAGUCGAGCAGGGACGAAAGUCGGUCUUAGUGAUCUGACGGUGCUGAGUGGAAAGGCCGUCACUCAACGGAUAAAAGUUACUCUAAGGAUAACAGGCUGAUCUCCCCCAAGAGUUCACAUCGACGGGGAGGUUUGGCACCUCGAUGUCGGCUCAUCGCAUCCUGGGGCGGUAGUACGUCCCAAGGGUUGGGCUGUUCGCCCAUGAAAGCGGUACGCGAGCUGGGUUCAGAACGUCGUGAGACAGUUCGGUCCAUAUCCGGUGUAGGCGUUAGAAUAUUGAGAGGAGCCUUCUUUAGUACGAGAGGACCGAGAAGGACAUACCUCUGGUGUACCAGUUAUCGUGCCAACGGUAAACGCCGGGUAGCUAUGUAUGGAGAGGAUAACCGCUGAAAGCAUCUAAGUGGGAAGCCCACCUCAAGAUGAGUAUUCGC